GAUCAUGGCUCAGGAUGAACGCUAGCUACAGGCUUAACACAUGCAAGUCGAUGGGCAGCAUGAUUGAAGCUUGCUUCAAUCGAUGGCGACCGGCGCACGGGUGAGUAGCACGUAUCCAACCUGCCGAUAACUCGGGGAUAGCCUUUCGAAAGAAAGAUUAAUACCCGAUAGCAUAGUUUCCCCGCAUGGGGUUACUAUUAAAGGAUUCCGGUUAUCGAUGGGGAUGCGUUCCA
rnacentral:rRNA from 1 species